rnacentral:rRNA from 1 species
ACAAGCGAGGAGCAUGUGGUUAAUUCGAUGAUACGCGAGGAACCUUACCUGGGCUCGAACGUAAGAUGACUGUAGGUGAAAGCUUACAUCUCUUCGGAGCAUUUUACGAGGUGCUGCAUGGUUGUCGUCAGCUCGUGCCGUGAGGUGUCGGGUUAAGUCCCAUAACGAGCGCAACCCCUACCUUUAGUUGCCAUCAGGUUAAGCUGGGGACUCUAAAGGAACUGCCUACGCAAGUAGUGAGGAAGGCGGGGAUGACGUCAAAUCAGCACGGCCCUUACGUCCAGGGCUACACACGUGCUACAAUGGCCGAUACAGAGGGCAGCUACCUGGUGACAGGAUGCAAAUCUCCAAAGUCGGUCUCAGUUCGGAUCGGAGUCUGCAACCCGACUCCGUGAAGUUGGAUUCGCUAGUAAUCGCGCAUCAGCCAUGGCGCGGUGAAUACGUUCCCGGGCCUU